rnacentral:rRNA from 1 species
GACGAACCGUGCGAACGUUGUUCGGAAUCACUGGGCUUAAAGGGCGCGUAGGCGGGCGAUCAAGUCAGGGGUGAAAUCCCGCAGCUCAACUGCGGAAGUGCCUUUGAUACUGGUUGUCUCGAGGGAGAUAGGGGCAUGCGGAACUUCCGGUGGAGCGGUGAAAUGCGUAGAUAUCGGAAGGAACGCCGAUGGCGAAAGCAGCGUGCUGGAUCUCUUCUGACGCUGAGGCGCGAAAGCUAGGGGAGCAAACGGG